rnacentral:rRNA from 1 species
UACGGGGGGGGCAAGCGUUGUUCGGAAUUACUGGGCGUAAAGGGCGCGUAGGCGGCCGCCUCAGUCAGACGUGAAAUCCCCAGGCUUAACUUGGGAACUGCGUCUGAUACUGGGUGGCUCGAGUUCGGGAGAGGAAUGUGGAAUUCCAGGUGUAGCGGUGAAAUGCGUAGAUAUCUGGAGGAACACCGGUGGCGAAGGCGGCAUUCUGGACCGAAACUGACGCUGAGGCGCGAAAGCCAGGGGAGCAAACGGG